UUUGGGAAAUGAUGUGAAGGUUAACCCUAGAUAUCAGGCACUAAGCUUAUGCUGAAUGUCUUGAAUUUGCACGUUCUGAUCCCAUA